GAUGAACGCUGGCGGCGUGCCUAAUACAUGCAAGUCGAGCGAACGGACGAGAAGCUUGCUUCACUGAUGUUAGCGGCGACGGGGGAAGAAAACGUGGAAAAACUACCCUAAAAAAUGGGUUAAAUUCCGGAAACCGGGGCUAAAUCCCGAUGAUAAUUUUAACCGGAAGGGUCAAAAAUGAAAAACCGUCUUUCCGUUCCAUAUAAGAGGGUUCCAACUCCAUUAGGUAGUUGGUAAGGUAAAGGCUUACCAAAGCAACCAUGCAUAAGCCACCUGAGAGGGUGAUGGGCCACGCUGGAACUGAGACACGGUCCAGACUCCUACGGGAGGCAGCAGUAGGGAAUCUUCCGCAAUGGGCGAAAGCCUGACGGAGCAACGCCGCGUGAGUGAUGAAGAUCUUCGGAUCGUAAAACUCUGUUAUUAGGGAAGAACAUAUGUGUAAGUACCUGUGCACAUCUUGACGGUACCUAAUCAGAAAGCCACGGCUAACUACGUG
rnacentral:rRNA from 1 species